GAUGAACGCUGGCGGCGUGCCUAAUACAUGCAAGUCGAGCGAACAGACGAGGAGCUUGCUCCUCUGACGUUAGCGGCGGACGGGUGAGUAACACGUGGAUAACCUACCUAUAAGACUGGGAUAACUUCGGGAAACCGGAGCUAAUACCGGAUAAUAUAUUGAACCGCAUGGUUCAAUAGUGAAAGACGGUUUUGCUGUCACUUAUAGAUGGAUCCGCGCCGCAUUAGCUAGUUGGUAAGGUAACGGCUUACCAAGGCAACGAUGCGUAGCCGACCUGAGAGGGUGAUCGGCCACACUGGAACUGAGACACGGUCCAGACUCCUACGGGAGGCAGCAGUAGGGAAUCUUCCGCAAUGGGCGAAAGCCUGACGGAGCAACGCCGCGUGAGUGAUGAAGGUCUUCGGAUUGUGAAACUCUGUUAUUAGGGAAGAACAAAUGUGUAAGUAACUAUGCACGUCUUGACGGUACCUAAUCAGAAAGCCACGGCUAACUACGUG
rnacentral:rRNA from 1 species